rnacentral:ncRNA from 1 species
CCGCCCUGUCGGCGAGGUCGAGCGAGAGCGUGCAAGUCGGGACCCGAUAGAUGGUGAACUAUGCCUGAGGAGGUUGAAGCCAGAGGAAACUCUGGUGGAGGACCGUAGCGAUUCUGACGUGCAAAUCGAUCGUCAAAUUUGGGUAUAGGGGCGAAAGACUAAUCGAACCGUCUAGUAGCUGGUUCCCUUCGAAGUUUCCCUCAGGAUAGCUGGCGCUCUGUCGCAGUUUUAUCUGGUAAAGCGAAUGAUUAGAGGUCUUGGGGGCGAAACGCCCUCAACCUAUUCUCAAACUUUAAAUUGGUAAGAAGCCCGACUCGCUCGUUUGGAGCCGGGCAUGGAAUGCGAGUGCCAAGUGGGCCACUCUUGGUAAGCAGGACUGGCGAUGCGGGAUGAACCGAACGCCGGGUUAAGGCGCCCGACGCGACGCUCAUCAGAGCCCACAAAAGGUGUUGGUUGAUAUAGACAGCAGGACGGUGGCCAUGGAAGUCGGAAACCGCUAAGGAGUGUGUAACAACUCACCUGCCGAAUCAAUCAGCCCUGAAAAUGGAUGGCGCUGGAGCGUCGGGCCUAUACCCGGCCGUCGCGGCGGUACGAGCAUCGAGUUGGUGCGCUAGGCCGCGACGAGUAGGAGGGCCGCGGCGGCGGGCGUAGAAGCCUAGGGCGCGAGCCCGGGUGGAGCAGCCGUCGGUGCA